AACGAACGCUGGCGGCAUGCCUAACACAUGCAAGUCGAACGAGACCCCUGACUUCGGUUGGCGGGUCUAGUGGCGCACGGGUGCGUAACGCGUGGGAAUCUACCCUUGGGUUCGGGAAUAACAGUUAGAAAUGACUGCUAAUACCGGAUGAUGACGUAAGUCCAAAGAUUUAUCGCCCAAGGAUGAGCCCGCGUAGGAUUAGCUUGUUGGUGAGGUAAAAGCUCACCAAGGCGACGAUCCUUAGCUGGUCUGAGAGGAUGAUCAGCCACACUGGGACUGAGACACGGCCCAGACUCCUACGGGAGGCAGCAGUAGGGAAUAUUGGACAAUGGGGGAAACCCUGAUCCAGCAAUGCCGCGUGAGUGAUGAAGGCCUUAGGGUUGUAAAGCUCUUUUACCCGAGAUGAUAAUGACAGUAUCGGGAGAAUAAGCUCCGGCUAACUCCGUGCCAGCAGCCGCGGUAAGUGACGUCAGA
rnacentral:rRNA from 1 species